rnacentral:rRNA from 1 species
AUUGAACGCUGGCGGCAUGCCUUACACAUGCAAGUCGAACGGCAGCACGGGUGCUUGCACCUGGUGGCGAGUGGCGAACGGGUGAGUAAUACAUCGGAACAUGUCCUGUAGUGGGGGAUAGCCCGGCGAAAGCCGGAUUAAUACCGCAUACGAUCUACGGAUGAAAGCGGGGGACCUUCGGGCCUCGCGCUAUAGGGUUGGCCGAUGGCUGAUUAGCUAGUUGGUGGGGUAAAGGCCUACCAAGGCGACGAUCAGUAGCUGGUCUGAGAGGACGACCAGCCACAGGGGGACUGAGACACGGCCCAGACCCCAACGGGAGGCAGGAGGGGGGAAUUUUGGAAAAGGGGCGAAACCCUGACCCAGCAAUGCCGGGGGUGGAAAGAAGGCCUUCGGGUUGUAAAGCACUUUUGUCCGGAAAGAAAUCCUUGGCCCUAAUCCGGUGGGGGGAUGCGGGUCCCGGAAAAAAAAGCCCCGGCUAACUACGU